CAUCAAAAAGAGAUGUGCGGAAUCAUUUCUAGAAUUGUGCUGAAGAUGUAUGAAUAGGGAACCAUCUGAACUUACGCUACCUUGCUGGCUGAAGAUAGAUAGACGUUAUUUCCCUGGAUUCCCUGCUGUCUCAGGAUAGUCUCAGCACUUUCAAGGCUAAUUACGGGCCUCACACUUUGGUUAGCAGACAUUUACGGAAUGCUUCGCUGAUGCUGGUACAAAGAACGUUCCACUUUGCAGUACAGAAGCUUCUUCAGCUUAUCAGCACAAGAAAAAUGACAACCGGAACAAAUUACUUAUUUCUUUUCAAAAAGUCUUUCUACGCAAUUUGAGAUUUCACUCGUAGAUAAUAAUCUGUCCUGGUCAUGUGAUAACACACAAGAGCCCAGCUUAUUACAGUUAUCAGAGCUGUGUAUUUCUGAUGUGGACAAAUCUCUUUGUGGUGGCCCGGUACCGUAUUACAUACCAUACCUAGUGUAGAGGUAGCCAAGGUCAGAGUAACUACGCUCAGCUUAUAAUUUCAAAUUCAAGGUUAUGCAGUUAAGGUAUUCAGGGAGAAAGUAAGAGAGAAAUAAGACAUCAAAUCCUGGAGUGUAUAUAUAGGUGCCGAUUACAUCACUCACUGCACUGAUGAGGAUGAAAGACGGGGGCCCCUGAUGUGCUCUGGAGGAGAUCGCUGUGUGGGACAUAAUCAGAUGAGCAAAUUUUCCUAUCUGCUGCCUAUACCUACUGUGGGGGAAGACUCUGCUGCCUAUACCUAGUGUGGGGGACUCUGCUGCCUAUGCCUAGUGUGGGGGACUCUGCUGUCUAUACCCAGUGUGGGGGACUCUGCUGCAUAUGCCUAGUAUGGGGAGACUCUGCUGCCUAUACCUACUGUGGGGGAACUCUGCUGCCUACACCUAAUGUGGGGGAACUCUGCUACCUAUACCUAAUGUGGGGGAACUCUGCUGCCUAUGCUUAAUGUGGGGGAAUUCUGCUGCCUAUAUCUAAUGUGGGGGACUAUCCACUAUGUUCCUGCCUAGCUAAUAUGAGGACAAACUACCAAACUAAUAGGAGUGGCUAACUACUACCUACAUAGGGGGUUUUCAUACAGGGGGCAACUAUCUGGGGGAUUUACUUACAGGGGGUAUGACUACAUAAUUAGGGGACAUCAACUACCUGAGGGCCUAACCUCCAAGGGCCACUACCUCCUGGGGACACUACUCACCUGGGGGCUUUACCUACCUGUUACUUCCGUGAGAAACACCUUAUUUUCUGUCCGCUAACACAAAAUGCUCUGAUAGUGCCCCUCCUGAGAUUAGACUCUGGAUCCGCCACUGGGUGGAGGGGGGUGCAGUCUAUCUACUUGACUAACUACCUGGCUACCAACUUACCAAUUUUAUACCUGGAUGCCUAACUACUUACCUA